ACGCUGGCGGCAGGCUUAACACAUGCAAGUCGAACGGUAACAGGAAUUAGCUUGCUAAUUUGCUGACGAGUGGCGGACGGGUGAGUAAUGCUUGGGAAUCUGGCUUAUGGAGGGGGAUAACUACGGGAAACUGUAGCUAAUACCGCGUAAAAUCUUCGGAUUAAAGGGUGGGACUUUCGAGCCACCUGCCAUAAGAUGAGCCCAAGUGGGAUUAGGUAGUUGGUUAGGUAAAGGCUGACCAAGCCGACGAUCUCUAGCUGGUCUGAGAGGAUGACCAGCCACACUGGAACUGAGACACGGUCCAGACUCCUACGGGAGGCAGCAGUGGGGAAUAUUGCACAAUGGGGGGAACCCUGAUGCAGCCAUGCCGCGUGAAUGAAGAAGGCCUUCGGGUUGUAAAGUUCCUUCGGUGACGAGGAAGGUUGAUAGGUUAAUAGCCUAUCAAAUUGACGUUAAUCACAGAAGAAGCACCGGCUAACUCCGUGCCAGUAGCCGCGGUAAUACGGGGGGUGCGAGCGUUAAUCGGAAUAACUAGGCGUAAAGGGCACGCAGGCGGUGACUUAAGUGAGAUGUGAAAGCCCCGAGCUUAACUUGGGAAUUGCAUUUCAUACUGGGUCGCUAGAGUACUUUAGGGAGGGGUAGAAUUCCACGUGUAGCGGUGAAAUGCGUAGAGAUGUGGAGGAAUACCGAAGGCGAAGGCAGCCCCUUGGGAAUGUACUGACGCUCAUGUGCGAAAGCGUGGGGAGCAAACAGGAUUAGAUACCCUGGUAGUCCACGCUGUAAACGAUGUCGAUUUGGGGAUUGGGCUUUGAGCUUGGUGCCCGUAGCUAACGUGAUAAAUCGACCGCCUGGGGAGUACGGCCGCAAGGUUAAAACUCAAAUGAAUUGACGGGGGCCCGCACAAGCGGUGGAGCAUGU
rnacentral:rRNA from 1 species